rnacentral:misc_RNA from 1 species
CUCAUUGAGCCUAAGCCCUCAUAAGUGGCUACUAAGUUACUUAGAUUGUUGUUGCAUGUGGGUGAGAGAACCAAACGUGUUAGUCAAGGCAUUGAGCACGAAUCCUGAGUACCUACGAAAUAAACGAUCCGAAUACGACUCGGUUGUGGAUUACAAGGACUGGCAAAUCGGUACGGGACGAAAGUUCAAGUCUCUCCGAUUAUGGCUCGUCAUGCGUAGUUAUGGCGUAGCCAAUCUUCAGAGUCACAUCAGG